AGUAAAGAUAGCAUAAUCUUCAAUUUCAACUUCCAUUGCUUAUUUUUUUUUAGCAUGGCAGUAAUGUGGGUCAGGUACCAUAACUAUUAACUUUAUUUUCCUUAAAGGACCACUAUAGCUUAAUGAAGUGGUCUGGGUGCCAGGUCCAGCUAGGUUUAACCCUUUAUGCUAUAAACAUAGCAGUUUCAGAGAAACCGCUAUGUUUAUUAUAGGGUUAAUCCAGCCUCUAGUGGCUGUCUCAUUGAUAGCCGCUAGAGGGCUUCCGCGCUUCUCACUGUGAUUUUCACAGUGAGAGCACGC